GGCUCAGUGGUGGAUGAUCCACGUCUGUCUUUGGUUGCAUUGUGGACACGUUUGUUCCAUUGAGCAGAAGAAGCCUGUUCGAAUCAGGCCUGAGCCA